rnacentral:rRNA from 1 species
GAUGAACGCUGGCGGCGUGCCUAACACAUGCAAGUCGAACGGAGUCCAGCCUUUAAGACCUUCGGGUCAAAGAGGGGAAGACUGAGUGGCGGACGGGUGAGUAACACGUGGGCAACCUGGCUCAUAGAGGGGGAUAACAGAGAGAAAUUUCUGCUAAUACCGCAUAAGCACACACUGCCGCAUGGCAGAGGGUGAAAAGAGAAUCGCUAUGAGAUGGACCCGCGUCUGAUUAGCCAGUUGGCAGGGUAAGAGCCUACCAAAGCGACGAUCAGUAGCCGAUCUGAGAGGAUGAACGGCCACAUUGGGACUGGGACACGGCCCAAACUCCUACGGGAGGCAGCAGUGGGGGAUAUUGCACAAUGGGGGGAACCCUGAUGCAGCGACGCCGCGUGAGUGAAGAAGUAUUUCGGUAUGUAAAGCUCUAUCAGCAGGGAAGAUAAUGACAGUACCUGAAGAAGAAGCCCCGGCUAACUACGUG